GCGGGAAUGGCGGAAUUGGCAGACGCGCUAGGUUGAGGGCCUAGUGGGAUAAUAUCCCGUGCAGGUUCAAGUCCUGUUUCCCGCA
rnacentral:tRNA from 1 species